rnacentral:rRNA from 1 species
UACGUAGGGUCCGAGCGUUGUCCGGAAUUAUUGGGCGUAAAGGGCUCGUAGGCGGUUUGUCACGUCGGGAGUGAGAACUCAGGGCUCAACCCUGAGCGUGCUUCCGAUACGGGCAGACUAGAGGUAUGCAGGGGAGAACGGAAUUCCUGGUGUAGCGGUGGAAUGCGCAGAUAUCAGGAGGAACACCGGUGGCGAAGGCGGUUCUCUGGGCAUUACCUGACGCUGAGGAGCGAAAGCAUGGGGAGCGAACAGG